GGGGGCGAAACGGCUUCGACGGGGAUAUGGAAGCGAGGGCUGCAUACCGAGUCUUCCUUUCGGCUCGUUAACUCGAAUGGAACUUAAAUCUAAUCGCAGAUGAUUACGAUUACGCCGUAGCAGCCUAGAGCUGCUACCGUCCUGGCAUUUUUUUCCUGCGGAUUUGUCAAGGGCGUCGAUUAGCGGGAUAGCCAACCCUGAAUGCCUGUAUAAGGAGCGGCAAAAUUUUUACAGGAUAACACUCUAACGUAUCCAGCUCGGAGGAGACUUAGAGGGUGAAAAUUAAAUUUCGGGAUAAGUAUGUAGAUGCCUGAGUGGAAUAUUUUCGGACGCGGGUUCGACUCCCGCCGCCUCCACCA
rnacentral:tmRNA from 1 species